rnacentral:rRNA from 1 species
CCUACGGGUGACAGCAGUGAGGAAUAUUGGUCAAUGGACGAGAGUCUGAACCAGCCAAGUAGCGUGAAGGAUGACUGCCCUAUGGGUUGUAAACUUCUUUUAUAUGGGAAUAAAAUGUUCCACGUGUGGGAUUUUGUAUGUACCAUAUGAAUAAGGAUCGGCUAACUCCGUGCCAGCAGCGGCGGUAAUCCGGAGGAUCCGAGCGUUAUCCGGAUUUAUUGGGUUUAAGGGGAGCGUAGGUGGAUUGUUAAGUCAGUUGUGAAAGUUUGCGGCUCAACCGUAAAAUUGCAGUUGAAACUGGCAGUCUGGAGUACAGUAGAGGUGGGCGGAAUUCGUGGUGUAGCGGUGAAAUGCUUAGAUAUCACGAAGAACUCCGAUUGCGAAGGCAGCUCACUGGACUGCAACUGACACUGAGGCUCGAAAGUGUGGGUAUCAAACAGGAUUAGAUACCCCGGUAGUC